rnacentral:rRNA from 1 species
CAGUAGCCACGGUAAUACAGAGGGUGCGAGCGUUAAUCGGAUUUACUGGGCGUAAAGCGUGCGUAGGCGGCUUUUUAAGUCGGAUGUGAAAUCCCUGAGCUUAACUUAGGAAUUGCAUUCGAUACUGGGAAGCUAGAGUAUGGGAGAGGAUGGUAGAAUUCCAGGUGUAGCGGUGAAAUGCGUAGAGAUCUGGAGGAAUACCGAUGGCGAAGGCAGCCAUCUGGCCUAAUACUGACGCUGAGGUACGAAAGCAUGGGGAGCAAACAGGAUUAGACACCCCUGUAGUCCCUGUCUCUUAUAC